CUCUGCUGUGCGCUUCCGAGGGAGGGGACGCGGCCGCGCCGUCGGUCGGGGCAAGCCCAGCCCCUCCGGUCGGCUCGCCGGCCUUGGAGACGCGAGCCUGGCGCUGGAGCCUGAGCGCGGCCCCGCCGGGCUUGCCUGGGCUUGUCUUCCGCCCCGGCUGGGCCUCGGCGACGUGAGCGUGCGGAUCGAGGGCUCUUGGAGGCCAAGCCGAGUCCUGCAAUCGAGCCCGGGCAGGAUCAACCGGACGCGGUGCGACCCGCUCUCUGCGCCUGGGGCCCAGCUCCCGGGCUCACGGAGCGGCCAGCUGUGAGUGUUUCUUUGGCAGUGUCUUAGCUGGUUGUUGUGAGUAACAGUGCAGGAAGCAAUCAGCAAGUAUACUGCCCUAGAAGUGCUGCACGUUGUGGGCCACGAGGGAAGAAGCAGGGGCCCAGACCAACAGAGACGCCGCCGGGAUGUUGGAUGCUGUGCUUCGCCCUGCUGGUGAGUGAGGGCUGCUGGGGGAUGCAAGCCCUAGCAGCCCUGGCAGCCUCUUUAGGGUGCUGAGGGCAGAAGAGCCAGGGAUGGUUCAGGCUUCCUCUGGCUGGGAGAAGUUUGGGAUCCUAACAUCCAGCCCUUAGGGGCUCCCCCUGAGUACGAAGCUCUGUGCUGAGCAUUCUAAAUGUGCUACAUCAGGAACAAGAGUCUGCUGUUAGCCACCUUACAGGGAAAGAAACAGAAAUCCAAAGAGAAAGAUGAUUAUGGGAGAGGCAGCCGGCCAUGAUGGUACACACCUCUGAUCGUCCCUACUCGGGAGGCUGAGGCAGGAGAAUGCCGUGUUAGAGGGCAGCAUGGACAACUCAGAUCCAACCUCUGAAGAGGCCUGGGGGUGUAGCUCAAUGGUGGGGCACUCACCAAGCAUGUGUGAGGCCCUGGGUGGAUAGAUUUCUUUCUUUUUUUCUCUUUCUUUUUGGUUCUUUGAGAUGGGAUCUCACUAUGUAGCCCAUGCUGGCCUUGAGCUUACAGCAAUCCUCCUGCCUCAGCCUCCAGAGUGCUGGAUUUACAGGUGUGCACCCCCACCCGGCUGGGAAUUGUUCCUUUUCCUUAUGUAUUCAGGAGCUCUGGAGAGGCCCCUCUGUGGUGAUGCUCACUAGCUCCCCAUGCCCAGUGCCCGCUCAGCCACAAGCCCCCUUGGCUGCCCAGCCUGGGCAGCAGGCGUAGGCCGGAGCGGGGCGCUGCAAUGCCUGGCAUGCAGGCGACAGCCACCGCCCAUGAACGGUCCUCAGAGAGUUCUGAUGGCAGCUGCAGGGUGGCUGAGCUGCAGUCUUGACAUUUUUCCCGGUUUUCCGCAGAAGAAAAGAAUGAAACAAUGUCUGCCUCCCCCACCGGCAGAGGCAGCCACGCAGGGCCCGGGCUUCAAAUUAAAGGGCCCACGCUCUGGCUGCGACUUCACUGGCCUGGUCACAUGGGUUCAGGCGAAAUCGCUGGCAAGAACCUUCUCCCUCCAGCCUGGCUUCUAAUUACGCCAACGUACACCCAAGAGGAAGUGCCCCUCUCCGAGAGGACUGGUCUGCAGAAAUGCCUGCUGAUUAGUGAGGAAUCCAGCCUGGUGUGGUGGUGGCACACACCUGUGAUCCCAGCACUCAGGAGGCUGAGGCAGGAGCUUUGCUUGGCUGGGAGUUCAAGGCCAGCCUGAACUGGGGGAGGGGAGAGGUAAGGCAGAGAGGGGUGAAGGCCCUGGGAAUGGCCAAGGGAUGUUACAUGCAUGAGCCAGUUUCUCAGAGCAGACACUGUUACAGAUUCCAGGCGUACACUCAUAAAAGCCAUCUCUAUUUGAAUUUUGAAUAUAUUUGCACAUCUAUUCACCACACUGUGAUUUGUACCGGUGUCCGUACAAAGUGAUCUCUACGCUUUGUAAUUUCUGGUUAAUCCAUGAUGAUUUUAAAAUAAACAGGGCUGGUGUAGCUCGGUGGUAGAGCGUAUGCUUAGUGUGCCGAAGGCCCUGGGUUCAAUCCCUGGCACCAAGAGUUUAAAAAAUGAAAAUGUACAAAUUGACAUUUGAUGAAAGGCAGUACGGUAUCCUGAGUGAGAUCCUGGAACAAGAAAAGGACAUAAGUAGAAAGGCUGGUAAAAUCCAGACAAGUCUCUAGCUAAAAGUAAACACCAGUGUUAGUUAAUUUUGACAGGUGCAGGGCAGUUGUGUAAGGUGUGAACUUUAGAGGACGGUGAGGGUCCAAGGGAAUGCCCUCUACUGCUCUGCAACUUCCUUGCAAACCUGGAAUUACUCCAAGUAAGUGCUUACUAAACAACAAAGGUGAGUAAAUACGCACGUAUUUUUUUGUUUGUGGUUGUUUUUGUUUUUGUGAGACAGGGUCUCGCUACAUAGUCCAGCCUGGGCUUGAACUCAUUAUUUGUAACCCAGGCUGGGCUCAAACUCACAGCAGUCCUCCUGCCUCAGCCUCCGGAGUGCUGGGAUUACAGGUGGUGCCACCACCACAUCCAGCUUUUGGAAUAUUUAAAACCAAAUUCUUCUGUUUUCCAAACACGUCUCCCGACACACAAAAUAAUCUGUAAACUGCAGCCGUUAUACACUGAAAAAACAGGUCGUGACCCUUAACAGCCCUCCCGGGCCUUGCAGGGUCGGUGGUUGGAAUGAGGCAGAUGGAGCCGCCUACGUGGAAGCGCAUGCGCCCUGCGCUAGCUGUCCGUGGGUGCCGGGACCGCUCUCCACCGGCUGCAGUAGGGGCCCCAAGUCUGCCCUGCUCUGCUCAGAUGGGCUGUGGCUCCGGCUUUCGGAAGCAAUGAGGCCAGAGCUCGGACGCCUGUGUCCCUGUCCCUGCGGCAGCUGCCUCUCUCUUGCAGCUGCCGGUCUCGUUAGCCGCCUUCCUCCCUGGGUGAGAAGCUCGAUCUCGCACGGAUUCACCAUCCUGGGAGGAGGAGACCUGGACUCGCCUUGGUCCCACCUCCUCUGUCGUCCCCAAGGCUAGGGAUUACCUGCGACCACUCAAGAAGUCCUUCCUUCCUCCUUCGCCGGAACCGGAAAUGCCCACGUAAAGUAUCAAAUACUCUAGGUGAGGUGGCACACUUGUAUUCCCAGCUACUGGAGAGGCUGAGGCAGGAGGAUCGCAAGUUCCAGGCCAGUUUGGCUAUUCCAAAGACGCUGUCAACAUUUAAAAGGGUUGGGGGUGGACUGGUUCAGCCCAGUACUGGAAAAAAUUCUGUAGCACCGUUCAGAUGGGACCUCCCCUCCCUUGUGUCAUUUCAAAACAAGCCCUCCUGUUGCAAUCUAAUUUUCAUACCUGAAAUACAAGUCACAGAUGAGCCUGCCUGCCUUGAUUGUUUUCUUCUUGUUUGGUUUGGUUUUGUUGAGACAGGGUCUCGCUGUGUAGCCCAGGCUGGCCUGGAACUCACAUUGAUCCUCCUGCCUCAGGCUCCUGAGUGCUGGGACCCCAGGCCUGCGCCACUACACCGUUCCUGCCUCUAGUAGCUUUGAGGCAGAGUCUGUCAGCAUCGACUCAUUCCUGAAUGAGCAAUCUGAUUCGGAGGGCAGAGGAGAGCGGAAACAACACCGCAGGAGCUGCAGAGACGCCAGACUCGUCCCAUUCUGGGCAGAGGGGACCGAUGGCCGAGCAGAGGUUGCCAAAGUUUGAAUGUGUCCCCCAGAGCCGGGUGUGAACUUGGGAUCCUCCUGCCUCGGCUUCCCAGAGCUCUGAUCCCAGGAGUGAACCCCCACACCCAGCCAGCGUGCUUCCCAGGAGGGCACAGUCACAUUGAACCAGGGCCACCCUGAUAACCUUGCUGCAACCUAGUCUCCUCCCGAUAGGCCCCGCAUCCAGAUGGCCACACUCAGGUUCCACAUGGCAAGACAUAAGCACAGGACGGGCACUCAGCCCACAGCAGGGGCCUUCUGGACCUUCACAAGCAGCUCUGUGCUGGGGAGCUGAGGCGCUGUACCCCUGAGCCAUGCCCCCAGCCCUUCCGGCUUGCUCAUCUGUCCUGUCUGCAAGUCAGCCCUUAACCCUGGUUCUACUGCCCAGACCCUGGCCGCCUGGCGCAGCCUAUGGACGCUUGCAUCACAAACAAGGAGAGGACGUGGGGUCCCAAAGCCAGCGGGUUCUGGUGACCGGAUCGAUGAAGAGCCUGAUAAAGCCAGAUGAGGGGUAGAUGCCUGCGCGCCUCUUCUUAGCACAUGCUAGAUCCAAGCUUUUGGGCCCAAGGGAUCCUCCUGCCUCAGCCUCCUGAGUAGCUGGGACCCCAGGCACAUCCAGCCCCAGCUCGUGAUGCCUGUUAACAGAAUCUCAGGUGCUGCUGAAGGAAAAACUGAAAGCACACAAGAUGCACUGCCUGCGUCCCUAACCAGAGGAAAAGAAGGCGGUGACCCACGGAGCCAGGCCGCCCCCCGGGGUGGGUGCCAGGCUGGCACCUCGCCCGGCUCCUCCACAGUCCCUUGUUCCAGCCACAGAUGGUCACUGAGGCACCUGCACGUGUGGGGAUGCCUGUGGAUGGCCAGGUCCUGUCAGAAGCUGAAUGAGGGACAGAGGGAGGACACCCAGGCACCCACUGCCUGGGGCAAGGCCCCGCCACCUCCCAGUGGUGCCGAUGCUGGACCCGUUGAGGAUUCAUCUGCUCAGACGUAGGACUCUUGCAACCUUAUCACUCCCGAAAUGCCCACCAUACCUUUACUAGCUGAUUCCUGUGUUUGUGUUGCAGCACUGGGGAUUGACCCCAGGGCCUUUGCACCGAGCUACAUUCCUGGACCUUUUAUUUUUUAUUCUGAAACAAGAUCCCGCUAAAUUGCUCAAGCAGUGGGGACACCAAUCUACAAUCCUCCUGCCUCAGCCUCCCAAGUGCUGGGAUUACAACCACAUACCACAAUAGGGGGCUGCAGCCGAGCCUUUAUUUAGUGUGUGGUCUCAGGGAGCAUUUUAGACCCCAACCCUAGCAGCAGCUCCCAGUUUAGGGAAGACAUUCCUACCAAGGACACUGUAACACACAGUCAUGUUUUGUGCGUCACUGGUACCUAAUUCUUUAUUGAAAGGUUUCUUUUAAUCUGAUUUGCUUUAGGACCAGGUUUUGCAGCUGAGGUUAGCUCACACUCCCCUUUUAUAAGGCCAAGGAAAUCCCAGUCCUCGGGGGGAUUGUGAACGGCUUCAAGGGAGGAGAGGUGUCCACAGCCUGUACCUCCUCCCCCAACCCAUACCAACAGUCAAGGCUUGGGCCAGAUCCCAGCCCUGAGGAGGCUGAGGCAGGAGGACAGCCUGAGCUAUAUGGUGAGUUCAACGUACUCUGUCUCAAAAAGUAAAGUAAAAAACAAAACCUAAACUAGACGUGGUAAAAUAUGCCUGUAAUCCCAGCACUGUGGGAGACUGAGACAGGAGCAUCACAAGUUUGGGCCCAGCCUGGGUAACUUAGGCAAGACUCUGCCUCAAAUAAUAAUAAUAACAACAAAAAUAAAAUGGUCUAUUCGUGUAGUGGAAUAUUACUUGGGCAGAAAAAAGCAUAAACGAUAGAUGUGAGGGUAAGCUUUCCGAUGUGAUGCAAAAUGACAGGAGCUAAGUGAUGUAAAGGACCAUUCUCUCCUAGGAUCCCCUCCAUGAAAUACCUGGAGUCGGCAAACGCAUAGACUCGGAGCAGGUUAGAGAUGACUUGGGCCGGGGUUGGGGCAGUGCGAGUUAUUGCUUAAGCGGUUUCUGUCGGAGGUGGUGAAAACCUUCUGGAAACAGAUAGUGAUGAUGAUACGGAAAAGUUUUAGAAAACUUAAUAGAUUGAAUAUUAAGGUAGUUGUAGAAGCAAAAUAAGUAAUGUGUUCUUUUAAGAUUUGCUUUUCCUGUAACUCCUUGUUUAAGGUGAGGAUUGUCAGACUCUAACCAGUAACUUCAUUAACCUAACAGUUACCAAG